rnacentral:rRNA from 1 species
AUACGGAGGGUGCAAGCGUUACUCGGAAUCACUGGGCGUAAAGGAUGCGUAGGCGGAUAAUCAAGUCAAAAGUGAAAUCCCACGGCUUAACCGUGGAAUUGCUUUCGAAACUGGUUAUCUAGAAUAUGGAAGAGGCAGAUGGAAUUAGUGGUGUAGGGGUAAAAUCCGUAGAGAUCACUAGGAAUACCGAUUGCGAAGGCGAUCUGCUGGGACAUUAUUGACGCUGAGGCAUGAAAGCGUGGGGAGCAAACAGGAUUAGAAACCCGGGUAGUCC